AGUGAACGCUGGCGGUAGGCCUAACACAUGCAAGUCGAACGGCAGCACAGUAAGAGCUUGCUCUUACGGGUGGCGAGUGGCGGACGGGUGAGGAAUACAUCGGAAUCUACUUUUUCGUGGGGGAUAACGUAGGGAAACUUACGCUAAUACCGCAUACGACCUACGGGUGAAAGCAGGGGAUCUUCGGACCUUGCGCGAUUGAAUGAGCCGAUGUCGGAUUAGCUGGUUGGCGGGGUAAAGGCCCACCAAGGCGACGAUCCGUAGCUGGUCUGAGAGGAUGAUCAGCCACACUGGAACUGAGACACGGUCCAGACUCCUACGGGAGGCAGCAGUGGGGAAUAUUGGACAAUGGGCGCAAGCCUGAUCCAGCCAUACCGCGUGGGUGAAGAAGGCCUUCGGGUUGUAAAGCCCUUUUGUUGGGAAAGAAAAGCAGCAGGUUAAUACCCCGCUGUUCUGGCGGUACCCAAAGAAUAAGCACCGGCUAACUUCGUG
rnacentral:rRNA from 1 species